CCGUGACACAACAGGUAUGUUGUGCCAAAAUGUAACUUUUAUAUUGUAAAAGUGCUGUACAUUGUUUAAAAUGCAUUACAGUUUGUUUAAAAUGUAUUUAUAUUUCUUAUAGGACUUUAAAAAAAUUGGACCACAUUAUAAGAAGAAAACAAGGGGGAGAGCUAAUAAACAGCUGGAAAAAAUCUAUCAUCAACCAUUAUACGGUUAUAUUUAUUAUGGUGUACUGUUUCAACUUCUGAUGGUAAUGGCGAUUUAAUGUUUGCCAAAUGGCAAAGCCUUUUAAAUCACUUGGUCAGUCAGCAUACAGAUCACUCAAAUUCGCUGUUUUCCUCAAGUUUACAUAGCAUUGAAUACAAUACAGAUAAUAAAGAUUGGUUUGAGCCUGGAACUGACUAUUAUGAAGGUGUUUGCAAAAUCUUACAAUAUAAAAUUGGAAAAGGAUAUAAAAAAGGUAUCUCCAAUAUACCAAACAGCUGCUCUGGAAUCAUUCCACAGUCUUGUAAUAAAAUUUGCACCAAAGCACACUGCUUUUUCUUAUUUAGGAAUGCAAAGCAGACUCCACAUUGCAGCCAUGCACUACAAUGAAAAUUGUGGAGAGGAAACUGAUGACACAGAUGAGGAAGGAAAUGUAUGAUGUAGUAUCUUUUUUCCAAAAUGCAAAAAAGGAGACUACAGCAUCAAAAAACAAAAGAAAUCUCCAA
rnacentral:sRNA from 1 species